rnacentral:lncRNA from 1 species
GGACCCAUGCACUUGAUCUCUGCCUUGCCUCUAUAAGCAGGUACACUUGGAACAAAACAUGGUGGAGUUUUACAACUCCCAGAUUCCACCAAGUGAAGGACUUGGAUCUACGAGCACAAACACACUGAGCAAGAUACUGCCAAUGCCGCACUUUGAACUGCUGGGCAAACAAAGAACAUCGGUGACACCGUAUUAAGAGGUGCAGACAUCAAGGUCCAUACCUAAAUCAAAUGACGCACCUGAAGAAUGAACACGGUGAGAAGUCUUGUUCAGAAGACUUAAAACAUUGAAUCCUCGCCGAAAGGUAAAAUCGGUAGUUACCCAUAUUUAUCCUUUCUACAUUCCCUUUUCCCUUUAAUUACUUACUUUCCUUAAAUAGCUUAUUAGUUAAUCAUGCUAUCUUGAAAAGAAAAUAAAAAUGUUAAAAAUACUAAGCCCCAUGUGAGUAUGCUCGUGGCAUGAAACCCAUAAGUACAUUCACUGUGG